AGGUUUAGUUGCUCUCAGGCAUGGAAGAUAAAGGGCACCUACUGAACACUUCCCGUCUGGAGCUACAUGUAGCAUAAAGAGAGAAUGAACCUACAGGAGCUCAUCAUUAAUAUAAGUGUUGUUCCACUUCACAGUUGACCAAGAACUACUGUCACCACUGCCAAUGACAAGUGUGUAACUAAAGGCACACAUGCUCUUAGGAUGGACACCUGUAAGCCAAAGAGAGAACGACUGGCAGGACCAUCAACUACUAUUUAAAUGCUACAGAAUCCAAAACCAGAAGAGAAAGAUGAAGAAGGACAUCAGGAUGGAUACAGAUUGUGUGGAGUGAUUUUCAUGGGGAAAGUCAAGAAAAUUUGUGGAAAUAAAUUUGAGUUUUCC
rnacentral:lncRNA from 1 species